UAACACAUGCAAGUCGAGGGGCAGCAUGGUCUUAGCUUGCUAAGGCUGAUGGCGACCGGCGCACGGGUGAGUAACACGUAUCCAACCUGCCGUCUACUCUUGGCCAGCCUUCUGAAAGGAAGAUUAAUCCAGGAUGGCAUCAUGAGUUCACAUGUCCGCAUGAUUAAAGGUAUUUUCCGGUAGACGAUGGGGAUGCGUUCCAUUAGAUAGUAGGCGGGGUAACGGCCCACCUAGUCAACGAUGGAUAGGGGUUCUGAGAGGAAGGUCCCCCACAUUGGAACUGAGACACGGUCCAAACUCCUACGGGAGGCAGCAGUGAGGGAUAUUGGUCAAUGGGCGAUGGCCUGAACCAGCCAAGUAGCGUGAAGGAUGACUGCCCUAUGGGUUGUAAACUUCUUUUAUAAAGGAAUAAAGUCGGGUAUGCAUACCCGUUUGCAUGUACUUUAUGAAUAAGGAUCGGCUAACUCCGUGCCAGCAGCCGCGGUAAUACGGAGGAUCCGAGCGUUAUCCGGAUUUAUUGGGUUUAAAGGGAGCGUAGAUGGAUGUUUAAGUCAGUUGUGAAAGUUUGCGGCUCAACCGUAAAAUUGCAGUUGAUACUGGAUGUCUUGAGUGCAGUUGAGGCAGGCGGAAUUCGUGGUGUAGCGGUGAAAUGCUUAGAUAUCACGAAGAACUCCGAUUGCGAAGGCAGCCU
rnacentral:rRNA from 1 species